rnacentral:rRNA from 1 species
UACGGAAGGCAGCAGUGGGGAAUAUUGCACAAUGGGCGCAAGCCUGAUGCAGCCAUGCCGCGUGUAUGAAAAAGGCCUUCGGGUUGUAAAGUACUUUCAGUCGUGAGGAAGGUGUUAAGGUUAAUAACCUUAGCAAUUGACGUUAGCGACAGAAGAAGCACCGGCUAACUCCGUGCCAGCAGCCGCGGUAAUACGGAGGGUGCGAGCGUUAAUCGGAAUUACUGGGCGUAAAGGGCACGCAGGCGGUUAAUUAAGUUGGAUGUGAAAUCCCCGGGCUUAACCUGGGAAUGGCAUUCAAGACUGGUUAGCUAGAGUCUUGUAGAGGGGGUUAGAAUUCCAUGUGUAGCGGUGAAAUGCGUAGAGAUGUGGAGGAAUACCGGUGGCGAAGGCGGCCCCUGGGACAAAGGACUGACGCUCGAUGUGCGAAAGCGUGGGGAGCAAACAGGGAUUAGAUACC